GACGAACCGUGCGAACGUUGUUCGGAUUCACUGGGCUUAAAGGGCGCGUAGGCGGCUGGCCAAGUCAGGGGGUGAAAUCUUUCGGCUCAACCGGAAACGUGCCCCUGAUACUGGCCGGCUUGAGGAGGGUAGGGGCGGAUGGAACUUCCGGUGGAGCGGUGAAAUGCGUAGAUAUCGGAAGGAACGCCGGUGGCGAAAGC
rnacentral:rRNA from 1 species